GACGAACGCUGGCGGCGUGCCUAAUACAUGCAAGUUGAGCGCUGAAGGUUGGUACUUGUACCAACUGGAUGAGCAGCGAACGGGUGAGUAACGCGUGGGGAAUCUGCCUUUGAGCGGGGGACAACAUUUGGAAACGAAUGCUAAUACCGCAUAAAAACUUUAAACACAAGUUUUAAGUUUGAAAGAUGCAAUUGCAUCACUCAAAGAUGAUCCCGCGUUGUAUUAGCUAGUUGGUGAGGUAAAGGCUCACCAAGGCGAUGAUACAUAGCCGACCUGAGAGGGUGAUCGGCCACAUUGGGACUUAGACACGGCCCAAACUCCUACGGGAGGCAGCAGUAGGGAAUCUUCGGCAAUGGAGGAAAGUCUGACCGAGCAACGCCGCGUGGGUGAAGAAGGUUUUCGGAUCGUAAAACUCUGUUGGUAGAGAAGAACGUUGGUGAGAGUGGAAAGCUCAUCAAGUGACGGUAACUACCCAGAAAGGGACGGCUAACUACGUG
rnacentral:rRNA from 1 species